CGAAGAAACAAAGAGCGAACGGUGGAUGCCUUGGCUUCUAUAGGCGAGGAAGGACGUGGUAAGCUGCGAAAAGCCGCGGGGAUCGGCAAACACGAAUUGAUCCGCGGAUGUCCGAAUGGGGGAACCCACCAGGUUGAAGACCUGGUACUCUUAGGAGAGCUAACCCGGGGAACUGAAACAUCUUAGUACCCGGAGGAAGAGAAAGAAAGAUCGAUUCCCAAAGUAGUGGCGAGCGAAAUGGGAAGAGCCCAAACCGAUGAUGUUACGGCAUCAUCGGGGUUGUAGGACCACAGGACGAAACGGCAAGUAACGGGAAGUAUCUGGAAAGAUACACCACAGAGGGUGACAGCCCCGUACCGGUAAGAUUGUCGCGGAGUAGUGGUAUCCUGAGUAGGGCGGGACACGAAGAAUCCUGUCUGAAUUUGCGGGGACCAUCCCGUAAGGCUAAAUACUCAUAGAAGACCGAUAGAGGACAGUACCGUGAGGGAAAGGUGAAAAGAACCCCGAACAGGGGAGUGCAAUAGAACCUGAAACCGUUCGUUUACAAGCGGUCGGAGCGUCGCAAGGCGCGACGGCGUGCCUUUUGGAUAAUGAGCCUACGAGUUGUUUCUGUCCGGCAAGGUUAAGUGCUUAAGGCACGUAAGCCGAAGCGAGAGCGAGUCUGAACAGGGCGUUGAGUCGGACGGAACAGACGCGAAACCUAGUGAUCUACCCUUGGCCAGGAUGAAGGUGCCGUAACAGGCACUGGAGGUCCGAACCAGUUUCCGUUGAAAAGGAUUUGGAUGAGCUGAGGGUAGGGGUGAAAGGCUAAUCAAACUGGGAGAUAGCUCGUACUCCCCGAAAUGUCUUUAGGGACAGCCUCACGAUAGCUUGGCGGAGGUAAAGCUACUGAUAGGAUGCGAGGGCUUCAUCGCCUAUCAAAUCCUGACAAACUCAGAAUGCCGUCAAGUGUUUUGUGGGAGUGAGUCGCCGGGUGCUAAUGUCCGGUGGCAAAAGGGAAAGAGCCCAGACCAACAGUUAAGGCCCCUAAACGUGGUUUAAGUUGAGAGAACGGAGUGACAUCGCAGAGACAGCUAGGAUGUUAGCUUGGAAGCAGCUAUUCAUUUAAAGAGUGCGUAACAGCUCACUAGUCGAGCGGCGUUGCAUGGAUGAUAAACGGGCAUCAAGACCACUGCCGAAACUAUGGACUCGCAAGAGUGGUAGGGGAGCAUUCCAGUCGGCGCAGAAGGUGAACCGUGAGGUUUGCUGGAGCGGUUGGAAAAGAAGAUGUAGGCAUAAGUAACGAUAAUGCGGGCGGGAAACCCGCACACCGAAAACCCAAGGUUUCCUGAACAACGUUAAUCGGAUCAGGGUAAGUCGGGACCUAAGUCGAAGCCGACAGGCGCAGAUGAUGGACAAUCGGUUAAUAUUCCGAUACCUAACGUAUGAGAGACGGAGAGACGCAGGCGUGACACGCGCGCGUGCUGACGGAAUAGCACGUUGAAGGUCGUAGCUAGACGUUCCGGUUAAGAGCUGGAAUGUGGUGAUGGCCGACAGUACGGCAACCCUUCGGGGGAGCUGAUAGUCGCGGUAAGCAGACUGCCGAGAAAAUCUUCAGAUCAAUAAUCAUGCGUUAGCCCGUACCGUAAACCGACACAGGUGGGUGAGGAGAGAAUCCUCAGGUGCUCGAGUGAAUCAUGGCUAAGGAACUCGGCAAAUUGACCCCGUAACUUCGGGAUAAGGGGACCCUAGGAAUAGGGCGCAGAGAAAUGGCUCAGGCGACUGUUUACCAAAAACAUAUGGCUUUGCAAAUUCGAAAGAAUAGGUAUAAGGCCUGACACCUGCCCGGUGCUGGAAGGUUAAGAGGGGGUGUUAGCGGAAGCAAUGAAGUGAAGCACUGAAUCGAAGCCCCAGUAAACGGCGGCCGUAACUAUAACGGUCCUAAGGUAGCGAAAUUCCUUGUCGGGUAAGUUCCGACCUGCACGAAUGG
rnacentral:rRNA from 1 species